rnacentral:rRNA from 1 species
CUAUACAUGCAAGUCGAGCGGACAGAAGGGAGCUUGCUCCCGGAUGUUAGCGGCGGACGGGUGAGUAACACGUGGGUAACCUGCCUGUAAGACUGGGAUAACUCCGGGAAACCGGAGCUAAUACCGGAUAGUUCCUUGAACCGCAUGGUUCAAGGAUGAAAGACGGUUUCGGCUGUCACUUACAGAUGGACCCGCGGCGCAUUAGCUAGUUGGUGAGGUAACGGCUCACCAAGGCGACGAUGCGUAGCCGACCUGAGAGGGUGAUCGGCCACACUGGGACUGAGACACGGCCCAGACUCCUACGGGAGGCAGCAGUAGGGAAUCUUCCGCAAUGGACGAAAGUCUGACGGAGCAACGCCGCGUGAGUGAUGAAGGUUUUCGGAUCGUAAAGCUCUGUUGUUAGGGAAGAACAAGUGCAAGAGUAACUGCUUGCACCUUGACGGUACCUAACCAGAAAGCCACGGCUAACUACGUGCCAGCAGCCGCGGUAAUACGUAGGUGGCAAGCGUUGUCCGGAAUUAUUGGGCGUAAAGGGCUCGCAGGCGGUUUCUUAAGUCUGAUGUGAAAGCCCCCGGCUCAACCGGGGAGGGUCAUUGGAAACUGGGAAACUUGAGUGCAGAAGAGGAGAGUGGAAUUCCACGUGUAGCGGUGAAAUGCGUAGAGAUGUGGAGGAACACCAGUGGCGAAGGCGACUCUCUGGUCUGUAACUGACGCUGAGGAGCGAAAGCGUGGGGAGCGAACAGGAUUAGAUACCCUGGUAGUCCACGCCGU